UACGGGGGGGAGCAAGCGUUGUUCGGAUUUACUGGGCGUAAAGGGCGCGUAGGCGGCCACCGCAAGUCGACUGUGAAAUCUCCGGGCUUAACCCGGAAAGGUCAGCCGAUACUGCGGGGCUAGAGUGCAGAAGGGGCAACUGGAAUUCUCGGUGUAGCGGUGAAAUGCGUAGAUAUCGAGAGGAACACCUGCGGCGAAGGCGGGUUGCUGGGCUGACACUGACGCUGAUGUGCGAAAGCUAGGGGAGCAAACGGG
rnacentral:rRNA from 1 species